CAAGAAAAAUUAGCCAUAGUCUUCCUCUUGUUUUGCUCCACUUCAGCCGAGAGAGAAAAGAGAGUUGAGAGCAAGAAAACUCCAUCUUCUUCUUCCUGUCAUCAACCGAGAACCAAGGCUGAUUCAGCCAUAGAUAUUUCACAAAAUUCCCCUAUUUCUUCAAGUUUAAACCAUAAGUGAGAGAGAGUCAAGAGAGUAGAAAGGAUCCAGCUAUGUUGGAGGGGAGAAAACAGAGGAAAGCUGGUGCAUAUCACCCUUGAGGUAUCGAAGGAGAAGCAAGUGAGCCAUCUGCAUUUUUUUUCAGCUUUGAUUUGUGAGGAAAAAGGGAGUUUGCAUCUGGAAAUUUCAGCUUGUAGAGUUGAACUUUUGCUUGAUGGCCAGCCUUGGUAUGGAGACAUGGCUUGUCUGAUCAAAGGGGCAAUCCAGGAGGAAACUUUUGACGCUAUUUUU